UGGCGAUGACUUUAGUGGCGGACGGGUGAGUAACACGUGAGAAUUUACCUUUAGGAGGGGAAUAACAGUUGGAAACGACUGCUAAUGCCGCAUAUCAUAAGUAUGAAAGAAGAAAUUCGCCUAAAGAAAAGCUUGCGUCUGAUUAGCUAGUUGGUAAGGGUAAAGGCCUACCAAGGCGACGAUCAGUAGCUGGUUUGAGAGGACGACCAGUCACACUGGAACUGAGACACGGUCCAGACUCCUACGGGAGGCAGCAGUGGGGAAUUUUCUGCAAUGGGCGAAAGCCUGACAGAGCAAUACCGCGUGAGGGAAGAAAGCCCACAGGGUUGUAAACCUCUUUUGUCAAGGAAGAAGUUCUGACGUUACUUGACGAAUAAGCAUCGGCUAACUCCGUGCCAGCAGCCGCGGUAAGACGGAGGAUGCAAGUGUUAUCCGGAAUCACUGGGCGUAAAGCGUUUGUAGGUGGUUUAGUAAGUCUAUUAUUAAAGCUUGAAGCUCAACUUCAAAAAUGUAAUAGAAACUACUAGGCUAGAGGAUAGUAGGGGUAAAGGGAAUUUCCAGUGGAGCGGUGAAAUGCGUAGAGAUUGGAAGGACCACCGAUGGCGAAGGCACUUUACUGGGCUAUUUCUGACACUAAGAAACGAAAGCUA
rnacentral:rRNA from 1 species